AAAAGAUAGUUUAUGUUCUUCUACCCUAGUAAAAUCAUUGACGAAGUCUAGACUUCUCCGCCGUAUCAUAUGAUGGCUCGAUUCCCUUUCCUCUUCUCUACCGUUUGAUCUUUAUUUUCAUGGUGUUUUUUCAUCUCACCUUUUAAUGCAUUAAGUGCUAUUCCAAUCGCUACACUUCUCCAUCUUCAGCUUUGUAAGAGUUCUCAAUGAUUCUAAUCGUAAUUGUAACGGCGUGGAUUCUGAACGAAGGAAUCAUCAAAAGAUGGAGAGGCAAUGAGCACCUGAGCCCUUGAAAACGUUCCAAGCACUCUGCAUUUUCAUUUUCUUCUCUUUUGGUUUGUCGCAAUGUUUGUUUUUAGUUUUUUAAACUGAGCGUUAGUGAGAUUUAUAAAACAGGGGACUUCUAUGACAAUAAUAACAUUGGACUUGAGCUAGAAAUUUAUCGCCUGUGUUGCUUUUGAUU